UUAUUUGGUAAAGAGAGAUUUGAAAGCUUCUACUCAGGCAUUUCUAGCUGAAGGAAAAGUCUCAUAUGGACCCUGUUGAUUUGUUGGUUUGUUUCAUCACCAACUAUUUAUAAAGAGUACCACCACUCUCAUAUUUCAACAUCCAGAAUUACAUUCUUGCAUUUUACCAUUCAAACUCUCAACUCAUGGAGCAUGGUAACAUCACCUAUCAACUGAUCAAGGCUCGAGCCCCGGCUCCUGCAACCUAUUGUAUGACUUUUUUGCUCUUCUGGAUAAAAUGA
rnacentral:lncRNA from 1 species